rnacentral:rRNA from 1 species
GUGCCAGCAGCCGCGGUAAUACAGAGGUCCCAAGCGUUGUUCGGAUUCACUGGGCGUAAAGGGUGCGUAGGUGGCCAGGUAAGUUUGAUGUGAAAGCUCGGAGCUUAACUCCGAAAUGGCAUUGAAUACUAUCUGGCUUGAGGGUCGGAGGGGAGACUGGAAUUCUCGGUGUAGCAGUGAAAUGCGUAGAUAUCGAGAGGAACACCAGUGGCGAAGGCGAGUCUCUGGACGACAUCUGACACUGAGGCACGAAAGCUAGGGGAGCAAACAGGAUUAGAAACCCUUGUAGUCC